AUACUUACCUGGCAGGGGAGAUACCAUGAUCACGAAGGUGGUUUUCCCAGGGCGAGGCUUAUCCAUUGCACUCCGGAUGUGCUGACCCCUGCAAUUUCCCCAAAUGUGGGAAACUCGACUGCAUAAUUUGUGGUAGUGGGGAACUGCGUUCGCGCUUUCCUCUG
rnacentral:snRNA from 1 species